rnacentral:rRNA from 1 species
CCUACGGGGGGCAGCAGUAGGGAAUAUUGCUCAAUGGGCGAAACCCUGAAGCAGCAACGCCGCGUGGAGGAUGAAGGCUUUCGGAUUGUAAACUUCUUUUGUUAGAGAAGAUAAUGACGGUAUCUAACGAAUAAGCACCGGCUAAAGCCGUGCCAGCAGCCGCGGUAAUACGGAGGGGGCAAGCGUUACUCGGAAUCACUGGGCGUAAAGGGCGCGUAGACGGGUUAGCAAGUCAGAUGUGAAAGCCUAUGGCUUAACCAUAGAACUGCAUUUGAAACUGUUAGUCUUGAGUAUGGGAGAGGUAGGCGGAAUUCGUGGUGUAGGGGUAAAAUCCGUAGAGAUCAAGAAGAAUACUGAUUGCGAAGGCGGCCUGCUAGAACGUAACUGACGCUGAUGCGCGAAAGCGUGGGUAGCAAACAGGAUUAGAUACCCGAGUAGUC